rnacentral:hammerhead_ribozyme from 1 species
GCUGAAGAGUCCCAUAAUAGGACGAAACGGUCGUCC